GGCCAUAGCUCAGCAGUAGAGCAUUUGAUUUGCAUGCCAAAGGUCCUGGGUUGAAUCCCAAGUAGGGUUG